AGAGAGAAACCUGAUCUGCUAUUGGGUGAGGGAAAAGGACUGAAACCCUGAGGGCCAGCAGAAGGAAUGGAAAAAGGCAGCCUCGGAAAAUAGGAUGUUGGGGAACCCUCAGAAUGCACCAGAAACCUAGGAGGUGAGAGACUCUCAGGACUCAAAGGGAGGGACCUUAGAUGAAAUGCCUGACAGUAGGGAGAGGGAACUUAUACAGCCCACCUCCAACAGGAAGACAGGACAUCAAGUGAGGGAUGGGGUUGCCAUCCCACAAUCACAACUCUGACCCAUAGUUGUUCCUGUCUGAAAGAAUUACAGGGAUGGAAAUGGAGAGAGCCUGAGGAAAGGAAGGUCCAAGGACAGGCCCAAAGUGGGAUCCAGCUCAAGGGGAGGUCCCAAGGCCUGACACUAUACUAAGGACAUGGAGCACUCACAAAAAGGGCCCUAGCAUGACUGCACUUCGAAAGACCCAACAAGCAGCUGAAAGAGUCAGAUGCAGAUGUUUGCAACCCAACCAAUGGACAGAAGCAGCUGACCCCUGUUGUUGAGUUAGGGAAGGCUGAAAGAACCUGAAGAGAAGGGCAAUCCUGUAGGAGAACUAGCAGUCUCAAUUAAUCUGGACCCUUGAGAUCUCUCAAACACUGGACCACCAAGUCACCUCUUUUAAUGUAUAUGUUUUCCCCAUCAAUUCUGUUCCUCUAGAGAACUCUCACUAAUAUAGCAAUGAAAACUAGAAUCAGUUACAUUAUUAUUUACCUAGCACAAUCACAGAGACAUGGCUCAGCUGUGGCAAGGAUGGAUUUGGAAAUGGUUACCUAGACCUCUUGGAGCCUGGAGCUGGCCAGGUAUUUUUGGUUCAUCUCACAACAGUAAGUCUGUACAUUACACAAAGGACUGUAGAGUUCUGCUCAUGACAUGACACCAGACUUACCUAUGUAAUUAGACUCCUUGAAAUCAGAUUCUAUUAGUUGGGUGGUAGAAGCACAGGCCCUUACUCCCAGAAUUCAGGAGUUGUCAGAGAGUCAGAGGCAGGAGGAUCUCUGUGAAUUCAAGGCUAACCUUAAUCUAGAGAGCAAGUUCCAGGACAGCCAAGACUAUCCAUAGUCUGUCCUGUCUCAAUAUAUAUAUGAAGAGGAAGAAGAGAGAGAGGAAGAGGAAGAAAAGAAAAAAAGGAAGGAAGAAAGGAAGAAAGAAAGGAAAUGCCUUCUAUCAUAAUAAUACCAUGUAGUCAUGGAUAAGUAGCAGCACAUUUAUUCUCAUUCUCCAGGAUUCACUACUGGAACUGUUUUGUUGUUUGUUUGUUUUUGUUUGUUUUGUAGCACUGUAAACACAAUACACAUGACGGCUUAGGGAAGGAAAGGUUUAUUUUGGCUUAUGGUUUUGGAGGUUUUCAGGCUAACAUGAGGCAAGGCAUGGAUGAACCCUCUUGUCCACUGUGCUAAGGUGGUGUGUCGGAGGCUAUUUAUAUCACUGUAGAUAGAGAAGCAAAGAUUAAAGUUUCUUCAGCCACUUGAAAUAGUUUCUCCAGCUGGGAAACAAUAGUUCAAGCUUCAGAGGGACAUUUUCUAUUCAAAUAGUAAUGUUUCAUGUGUGUUGUGUUUAAUUUUACCUAUGUGUGCAUAAAUAAGGAACCAGAGAGGAAGUUUGUUAAAAUAAAAUUCAAUAUGCCUAUUAGACAUUACUGUGCAUGCUCCCAAGGUAUAAGAAAUCACCACCAAUUAGAUAGCUCAAAGCAAUAGAAAUCCCUCCUUUUGUGUUAUGGAGGUCAGAAGUCUGAAAUCAAGGUACUGGCAGAGCCACUCCUUUGAGUUCCCAAGGAAGAAUUCAUCCCUCGAUUCUCUUGCUAUUUCUAUGGUUUUCAGUAACUGGCUGUUUCCUAUCUUACGUCCUCACUGCUCUGGUUUCUACAAUCUUCUUUACAUGGUCUUCUGUGUGUGUGUGUGUGUGUGUGUGUGUCCCCAUCUGCCCAAAUGUUUCUCUCCUAAGGACAUUCUUGGUGAAUUGGCGCCCAACCCAAUCCAGUAUGAUCAAAUCUCAAUUUGAUUACAUCUUCGAAGACCCUCUUCCAUAUAUGGUCACAUUUGCAGGGGCUGGGGGUAGGAUAUAAACAAGGCUUCUGAAGGGACACGAUCCAACCCCUCAGAUAUUUGGCUGCAGUUAUCCUUGGGAAACUUUGAACAAAUAGAUGGGAUUUAAAACCCCAGAAUUUGAUGAAUUCAGUUAAAUCUUAACUUUGAGGUUUUUGUUUGCUUGCUUGGUUCUUGGCAUACACACAGGUUUCUAUAUUUACAUAGUUUGAGUUUGCAUGUGAGCUUCUCACAUGGCUUUAAAUUUUUGUAUUAUGCAUAAAAAGUGUGUCCUUACUCUAAGAUUAUAAAGGUAUUCAUUUACUUUUGUCUUUGAUACAUUUGAAUUCACUCUAAGUUAAAACAGUGAAGCUGUGUUAUGUGUUUCAUUAUUAUUAUUGUAAAGGCUCAUUUUAUUUGUGUGUGAGAGAGAGAGAGAGAGAGAGAGAGAGAGAGAGAGAGAGAGCUGUGUGCAGUGCAGAUGCUUGCAGAGGCCAUAAAAGGGCACCAGCUCCCCUGGCCUCCAGGAGGUUGAGUACCCUGACAGUGCUGGGAACUGAAUUCAGCUUCUCUGGAAGAGCAGCAAAACCCUCAACUGCUGAGCCAUUUCUCCAACUGGUUAUAUGUCAAAGAACCAGCUACGUCUCACACAUAUAUAUAGUAACACAAGUUACCUGCUUUGGAUCUGCACUUGGGUCUAUCCCAGACGGGCUGCUUGAUCUAUGGAAUCCACUUAUUUGUUCCUAAGUGGUGAAUUUCUACACCUUUCUUUACUGUGAUUUCAUUUUGCAUUUUAGUAGCUGGUGGAGACUAUUUUCUGCUGUUGUUCCUUUUACUUUAGCCAGAGUUAACCUAACUUCACCCCGAAGAGAUGAACCUUGGCAGCAUUUUUGUCAUUUUUAAGUUCUGUUGUAAUUAAACCACACUGUUGGAUUUCCUUAAACCAUCCGUAUUCAUCUGUAAGUACGAAGCCUACUCUACCACAUACACCUUUUUAGUUUUCUUCCCUUCUUACUUUUUUCUUUAAACUCCUGAGAAAAUAUUUGGAGUUUUAUGUCACCUAGGUUUUGGAUAUUUCCUGAGUGAUUUUUCCUUAGACAUUUUGUGUUUUUGUUUGUUUUUCAAUUGUGAAUGGAAUCUUUUGAGUUACAGCCUCCUUCUUCCUCCUACUCAUCUCUCACACCGAUCUGUUAGCAAGAACUGCUGGUUCUUCCUGCAUCUAAAUGCAGAGAGAACAUAUGCCUAUUUCCCUUAAGUCACCCUAGGCCACCUCCUUUACUUUGGGCUACAGACUGGUGUCUACCCACUUCUCAAUGUCCCUUGUCCACAUAUCUGCCAGAGGUAGCUUUCUUACAGCCUGUGAUAUCAUAACAGAGCAUCUUUCAGAGUCUUCUCAAUUUGUUAUAUGAAUUCUUCUUAAUUAGUAGUUCCGAAGCAAGAUUGAGUAGUAUCAGUAUAGAUAAGAGGAAGCUUUGACUUAUUUAUUUUAGUAAUACUCUUCAUUAAGGUCUUACUGAAAAGCAUGAUAUAAGAUAUGGAUACUUCAGUAAGUGUGAGAGUUGGCAUACACUGGUGUGUGUGUGAGAGAGAGAGGGAGAGAGAGAGAGAGACGGGGAGAGAGAGAGGGAGAGAGAGAGAAAAAGAGAGAGAGGGAGAGAGAGAGAGAGAGAGAGAGAGAGAGAGAGAGAGAGUUAGUUUUCCCAUGUUGAGGAAGUAAAGCUCUAGAUCUAGGCAGCCCUGGUUGUUUUGGAACUCUCUCUGUAGACCUGGCUAGCCUCAAACUCAGAGAUCUGCCUACCUCUUCUGCUCCACCUCCACCCUGCCCAGCUAUAGUUUUUUGUUUUUUUGUUUGUUUGUUUUUUAAAUCAAGAUUAUAGAUUUUGGGGAGGUGACUCAGGAGUUAAGAGCAUUUGCAACUCUCCAAGGAGGCUUGGAUUCAGUUCCUAGUACCCACAUGGUGGCUCACAAUCAUCUAUAACUUGAGUUUCAGGAAAUCCAAUACUCUCUUCUGACCUCUACAUAAACCAGGCAUGCACAUGAUGCACAUAAAUAUUGUGCAGGCAAACACCGUCCCCCAGACACUCAAAAUACAUAAAAUAAAAAUAAGUAUUUUUUAAAAGUUGGAAUUUGGUAUGAUUAGCUUUAUAGCUUUAGCUAUUUAUAUUAGUUUUAUGGCAACUUGACACUACCCAGAGUCAUUUUGGAAGAGGGAACCUCAGUUGAGAAAAAUCCUCCACCAUAUUGAUCUAUGAGCAAGCCAGUAAGCAGCACUCCUUCAUGGCCUCUGCAUCAGCUCCUGCUUCCAGGUUCCUGCCCUGGUUGAGUUCCUGCCUUGACUUUCCCUCAGUGAUAGAGUGUUCUUGGGAGUGUAGAUGAAGUAAACCCUCGCCUCCUAAACUGCCCUUGGUCAUGAUCUUUUAUCAUAGCAAUGGAACCCCUACUUAAGACAAUUAUCUUUGAAGCACAUAUUUUGACAUUUAGGCAUAUCAAUAAAUGAUUGAUGGUUAGUUUCUUAAAAUGCCCCUUGACCACAAAGACAGUGAAUUUUCUCCCUUGCUCCCUAGCAUAGAUUAUAGGUCUGAGCCAUCAGAUCUGGCUUGAGGUUCAAAGCUUGUGACCACCUGUUCCAAGGACAAAUGAGCUGCCUAGAACUCUUCCACUGGCCUGCCUGUAGCCGGGAAUGGUGGAGUUCCCUGUGACUGUGGGAUUCUAUAUGAGCUACUGAUGAGACAUAAGCAAGUAAGGAAAGUUGAUCUUGGGAUCAACACUCAUCAAGAAUAAGAUGGGUCCCCCACUCUCUAGCUGUGCUUCCAGACAGGUUUGCUUCAGUGUGGCUUCAGCAAAGCCUUCCUAGUGGUCUACAGUAGAGAAUGCAAGAGUCCAUCCCUAGCCUGAACACUGCACACAGACACCAAUUAUGCUAAAAUAUUUAAUUUCAUUCCAUAAAUAAUUAAGCCUAAAUAAUAAUACCUAGAUAUAACUUGGAACUUGUGACAAUCUACCUGCCUCUGUCUCUGUGUACCAGGAUUAUAGGCCUGGGCACACAUUCUUCUUCAGGACUGAUUAUAAUACAUUUUGUAUAUUGAUUUAAAAAAAUGAUGCUUAGGUAGUUAUGGCCUGUGAGUAAUUCUAUAAAGUAGACUAAGUGGAUAUCAUCAGUCUAUACUCUAAGACAUUCCUUUAAUUUUUUUAAAUUUUUUUUUAAAGUUCUACUUUUUAAAGAUUCCUAGAGAGCCAGAUGGGUGAUGAAAAGCCAGGUUUCACAUGUAACACUAAUAUUGGGGGAAAAAAAACCUGACGCUAGAAAUUAUUUAGUUAUUCUGAAAGCUGUCACUUCUUGAAAGCAGAGUCAGAAUUAGAAAAGAAUUAACAGUGUAUCGUUGUGUUCUCACAUUUCCAAUGUGGCUGGUGAAUCAUGAAGCAAAAAUUUCCUCAAAACUGGAGCCCCAGAGUCUUAGUCUGAGCCCAUCCUCCUGCCUGAGAAUCUCCAAAUUGCCUAGUGAAGGAAAAGCUAUGUCCAUGGUCCCACCUGUUCCAAAGUCCCUUUGGAAAUCUAGGCAGAAGUAGGUUUGCUAGAGUCUUACUUAUGACAACCUGGGAAACAAAGAAGGCUCUUCAUACAAGGGUGUGUAUCCACACAAGAGGCAGCAUCCUGAAGGAAACCUUCAGGAGCCUCCGAUCCUGCAGUUAGCUGACUGUUUCCUGCCCUCCUUGGUCCAACUCGUUAUGGCCCCAGGUGUUCCUUCUUGCUGCUGAACUGCUGUCUCUACCAGCUGAGCCCACUCCUGUGGUCUGCACUCACUGCCCUGGCUGCAGGUUGAACAGGGUCAGGCUACUUCUCAGAUGCUUCCCACCAGCCGCAGUGAACUCCAUUUUGACAUGAAGCCAUUUAAAUGGAAAUCCAGUUUUACAAAGCUCAAGUGACUGGUAAUGAAGAUGUGAAUGAUGCUUAUGAGGUUUUUAUUUAAUUUUAAAUCAAUUGUGUAUUCUAAUUCAUUAAUAAAGGGGAA
rnacentral:lncRNA from 1 species